rnacentral:rRNA from 1 species
UACGUAGGGUGCGAGCGUUAAUCGGAAUUACUGGGCGUAAAGCGUGCGCAGGCGGCUCGGAAAGACAGAUGUGAAAUCCCAGGGCUUAACCUUGGAAUGGCAUUUUUAACUCCCGAGCUAGAGUAUGUCAGAGGGGGGUAGAAUUCCACGUGUAGCAGUGAAAUGCGUAGAGAUGUGGAGGAAUACCGAUGGCGAAGGCAGCCCCCUGGGAUAAGACUGACGCUCAGGCACGAAAGCGUGGGGAGCAAACAGG